GCAAGUUGUUCAGACACUGUCUCUCUUUCAGAGCCACACAGUGAGGUGGAAGGAUGUGUGCUACAGUGACAGGCAGUUUCAAUUCAUUUGUGCCAGCAGAAGGCCCAAAAGAAUAAUUGCUGGGUCUCUUAUCGCCCUCUCAAAGUCCCAUUCUGUAACUUCUCAUAAUUACCAAGCGCCAGGUUGGACUAACGCACUGGGUGGAGAACACAAUGAAAGGCGGCAGCAGUGCACGAUGCCGCUGC